GACUCUGUGGCCAAUGGAUAAGGCGCUGGUCUACGAAACCAGAGAUUCUGGGUCGAUCCCCAGCAGAGUCG
rnacentral:tRNA from 1 species